AAGAUUUGAUUCAAUUUAAGCUUAAUGCUCGAUUUGUUCCUGUAGGUUGUUGAGUAUAUUCAAUUGAGUCCACUUUCUACUUUUAAAUCAAAUUAAUAAAAAAAAAAUUCAAUUUAAACUCAAUUGAAUUAUAUAAUGAAUUGCUGUGUGAAAAUGUAUAAUUCUUUUAUGUAGUUGUUUUUACAAUCUUUGAAUUUUUAUCUUUAUUAUUGUAGAUUUUUUAAAAUUUUCUGGAUUCCAGUUCGGGUACUUGAUCCGUUUUAUACAAUUUUAUUAAAUUUUUAGAAAAUUAUAAAAAUUAAUUGAGUUUGAGCAUAAUCAAAUAAUAUGUGGAUAGUAACCAUGGAAUUUGGAAUAAAU
rnacentral:misc_RNA from 1 species